rnacentral:rRNA from 1 species
UACGGAGGGAGCUAGCGUUGUUUCGGAAUUACUGGGCGUAAAGCGCACGUAGGCGGCUUUUUAAGUCAGGGGUGAAAUCCCGGGGCUCAACCCCGGAACUGCCCUUGAAACUGGAGAGCUAGAAUCUUGGGAGAGGCGAGUGGAAUUCCGAGUGUAGAGGUGAAAUUCGUAGAUAUUCGGAAGAACACCAGUGGCGAAAGGCGACUGCGCUGGACAAAGUCA